CCCUAGCCCCGAUGGAAGUGGAAAUCCUUUUUUGGAUUACCCGUAGCGCAGCGAAGGGAAAUCUUCAUGGAGCGCAGCGGAAUGCAAAAAAGAUUACAACGUACAGCGGGAAACAGC
rnacentral:sRNA from 1 species